rnacentral:sRNA from 1 species
CGGGCUCUGUUGUUCAGGGUUAUUAGUUUAAAGCAUCAAGUAAAAGUCAAAACCUUAGUCAAAUCUUCACCAUUUUUGUCCUCAGUUUUCCCUUAGCUUCAUCGUAAUACUCAAUAAUUCAACGGCUCGGCAUACCGCAAUGUCGCGGAUUUUUAUAUGAAUUAAAUAAGGGACAAAUAUGUCUAAUACAACUGGUACCGUUAAGUGGUUUAACGAAGAUAAAGGUUUUGGUUUCAUCGAGCAGGCAAAUGGCGGCGCUGAUGUGUUCGUGCAUUUCCGCGCUAUCGUAUCUGACGGAUACAAGACGCUAGCCGAAGGCCAAAAGGUCACCUUCGAUAUCGAGCAAGGUCAAAAAGGCUUGCAAGCAGCGAACGUAGUUCCGGCUUAAUCGAACGGUUCGAUAAAAAAGGCGACUUGAAGUCGCCUUUUUUG